AUUGUACGCUGGCGGCAGGCCUAACACAUGCAAGUCGAGCGGAUGAAGGGAGCUUGCUCCUGGAUUCAGCGGCGGACGGGUGAGUAAUGCCUAGGAAUCUGCCUGGUAGUGGGGGAUAACGUCCGGAAACGGGCGCUAAUACCGCAUACGUCCUGAGGGAGAAAGUGGGGGAUCUUCGGGCCUCACGCUAUCAGAUGAGCCUAGGUCGGAUUAGCUAGUUGGUGGGGUAAAGGCCUACCAAGGCGACGAUCCGUAACUGGUCUGAGAGGAUGAUCAGUCACACUGGAACUGAGACACGGUCCAGACUCCUACGGGAGGCAGCAGUGGGGAAUAUUGGACAAUGGGCGAAAGCCUGAUCCAGCCAUGCCGCGUGUGUGAAGAAGGUCUUCGGAUUGUAAAGCACUUUAAGUUGGGAGGAAGGGCAGUAAGUUAAUACCUUGCUGUUUUGACGUUACCAACAGAAUAAGCACCGGCUAACUUCGUG
rnacentral:rRNA from 1 species